UACGUAGGGUGCAAGCGUUGUCCGGAAUUACUGGGCGUAAAGGGCGCGUAGGCGGCCUUCUAAGUCGAACGUGAAAUCCCCGGGCUCAACCCGGGAACUGCGUCCGAUACUGGAAGGCUUGAAUCCGGGAGAGGGAUGCGGAAUUCCAGGUGUAGCGGUGAAAUGCGUAGAUAUCUGGAGGAACACCGGUGGCGAAGGCGGCAUCCUGGACCGGUAUUGACGCUGAGGCGCGAAAGCCAGGGGAGCAAACGGG
rnacentral:rRNA from 1 species